rnacentral:rRNA from 1 species
CUACGGGUCGCAGCAGUGAGGAAUAUUGCACAAUGGAGGAAACUCUGAUGCAGCAACGCCGCGUGGAGGAUGACGCAUUUCGGUGUGUAAACUCCUUUUAUAUGUCAAGAAAAUGACGGUAGCAUAUGAAUAAGCACCGGCUAACUCCGUGCCAGCAGCCGCGGUAAUACGGAGGGUGCAAGCGUUACUCGGAAUCACUGGGCGUAAAGGACGCGUGGGCGGGAUAUCAAGUCAGGUGUGAAAUCCUACAGCUUAACUGUAGAACUGCACUUGAAACUGGUAACCUAGAGUAUGGGAGGGGGAGAUGGAAUUAGUGGUGUAGGGGUAAAAUCCGUAGAUAUCACUAGGAAUACCUAAAGCGAAGGCGAUCUCCUGGAACAUAACUGACGCUAAGGCGUGAAAGCGUAGGGAGCAAACAGGAUUAGAUACCCUGGUAGUC